UUAUGUCAAGGGCGAACCUGUUAAAAGCCGGGGGCGCAAAGCCACAGGGUCUAAGGCGUUUUCGGACGUUAUGAUAGUCUGGCUGCCAAA
rnacentral:ncRNA from 1 species